GAGGCGUUAGUUAAACAAUAACCCAACCUUGUCAAGGUAAAAUUGUGGGUUAGACCCCCACACUCCUCU
rnacentral:tRNA from 1 species